rfam:Schizosaccharomyces japonicus yFS275 unplaced genomic scaffold supercont5.3, whole genome shotgun sequence.
GGCCUCGUGGCCUAGAAGCAAGGCAUUGGUUUCCGGUAGAGACCACUCCUUAGGGAGUCUCGAGUUCACCAAAGAUCGCGGGUGCAAAUCCUGUCGGGGUCG